AGGCAGCAGUGGGGAAUAUUGCACAAUGGGCGCAAGCCUGAUGCAGCGACGCCGCGUGCGGGAUGGAGGCCUUCGGGUUGUAAACCGCUUUUGUUUGGGAGCAAGCCCUUCGGGGUGAGUGUACCUUUCGAAUAAGCACCGGCUAACUAC
rnacentral:rRNA from 1 species